GAGAGAGAGAGAGAGAGAUGGAGAUGAAGCAGAAAGAAGAGGGAUCCAACUCAUCCAAGGCUCCAAGUGAUCCAUACUUCAAAACAAAGCCUGGAAGUGUUUUCCCCGCAAAGAAGAAGCUAGUGAAGCGCAGGGUGUUUGAAUGCUUGGUUCAUUGCGCAGCACCAAACAAGGCAGCUGCUUGUUGCUGCACUGAGCCUAAGAAGAGUAAGGCCAUAUUUCCAAACCCCUAAUGUAACACCCUUUUAUACAGUCCUCCCCUGCUCUUAUCUGUUCCCAUUGUAAUAUAUUUUCUUCAGAGGCUAGUAUUUUCAUUUUCUGUCUUCAAAGUCUAGAGAUUGUUUUAGGGUUAAUUGUGAGAUGUGAGUUGUAAUUAGCUCUUUAUAAUAUUAUUCUUGUACACUUCUUU
rnacentral:misc_RNA from 1 species